CCAAUGCUGACAGUUUUAUCCGACAGUUCCCUGAUGGCUACAGUACCAUUCUGGGGGAGAGAGGAGUUACCGUGUCUGGGGGCCAGAAACAGAGGAUAGCUAUCGCCCGCGCUCUACUGAAAAUCCCAUCCAUCCUCAUACUAGACGAGGCUACCAGGCCUACCACUUUCAAAAGAACCUGCGCAGAACCAUGGCUGUCUCGCGCAUGUAGGGGUGAAGGGUGAUGGUGGGGAAGGGCCUGGAGCAGUGGUGGGGAUAAGUCGUUGGGGCGAGGUGUCUUUCCCCACCACUCUGACUCUCCUGCUGUCCUGCAUGCUCGACUCAUACAGAGUCAUUGAUUGAGGUGCUGGUGAACUGAUUGAAGACUUAAAAAUGUUUUGUCAUUAGUGUGAGGUGUGAUAGUACGGACUGUUGUGAUAAAUUACUACUGUUUAUGAUUUACUUUAUAUGUUUUAAAAUAAAUGUUCUA